rnacentral:lncRNA from 1 species
CUGCCAUAGGGUCACCCAAAGGUUUGUUUAGUAAUAACCAAGAAAGGGCCCAAAGAAGAGGCCGCAGACUGCCAGGAGCUUGCAGCAGAGGCAUUCAACCCUGCCGGGGGCUCAGGACAAGCCUCUCUAGAGAUGCUGUGCCUGGGCUGAGAUUUGGAGAGUGAGUAGGUGGCAACCAGGCAAUGAGGUGGGAUGGGAAAGAACACUCCAGACAGAGGGAAAGGUCAACAAAGGAAGUCCAGGAUGGCUGGACCUCCAAGUGAGGGGAAGGCGCCCUGAAAUCUAACGGGGUCGUCAUAGGGCCCAGAUAAUGCAGGACCUCCAGCAGAGACAUGUGUUCUUCCUCCUAAAAGCACUGAGAAGCCCCUGCAGGAUUUUCAGCAAGGAACCACAUGGUGUCAUUGCUCCAUUUUCCAGAAGAUGAAACUGAGGCUCAGACAAUGGAAAACAGUUUUCCAGGAGUUUCUUCGAUAAGAACUUGGUGAAAUCAAGAUUGGAACUGGAUCUGCCUCCCAACACCCCUACCUACUUUUCCCACCUGAAGCUGACCUUAAGAUGCCUCCAUGGCCUGAGCUUGACCCAGAGAAACCGAGUCAGAAGCUCCUUAUGCAGAUGGGGCUGCAGGGAGCUCAUUAGCAUAGGCACUCAGAGGGAACCACUCCCUUCAAGGAAAGAAAGGCAAGGAAGACAGCCUGGAGGUGAGCAGAGUCCCUGUCCCUGUAGUCAAGGCUACUGACCCCCCCAACCCGUCUGCCCAUCGCACAAACAUGCACUGAUGCCAGCUUUGCACUGGGCCCUCUGCUGGGCCCUUCACACCCAAGAGGGGUGCACUGCUCCCAUUGCACAGUUGAGGAAAUGAAGGCCAAGAGAGAAGACGGUCACAAAGUGAGUUAGUGUAGAAAAGGACCCAGGAGUUUCUGGCUCCAGAAUCUCAGCUUGCCCUCUCCAAGAGCUGCAAGGGGUUCAGUGAGCAGCUGGUGGAGGAGGCAGUGAGGGGCCCUGGGCUGCAGGGGGCAGGGGGCCCAGGGAGUGUAAAAGGACAGGAGGGAGGUGGGUUGGCAUCUGAGAGCCUUGUAGCCAGCCUAGGAUCCACGAUAGCAUAUCUUUGCCUCUUCCCUGCCCACUCAGGCCCAAGGCAGUAUCCAGGCGUCCCAUCCCCACCUGGCCUGUUGUGUCCAGUUCUCCUGUCAAGCUUCAUCUGGGGCAUUAUGGCCAGAGCUGGAGCCUCUGGUGCCUUUCUUCAGAAGAGACCUGAACAAAGGGACCUCAGACAGAGCCAGCACUGGCCUUGUUGGGUGGGGAGGGAGCUGACUCAUGUGGUCUGUGGAAGGGUGCCAAUGCCCAGCCCUCAGCCUGGGGAAGCCAAGCCUGGGAGGGAGUGGACCCUGCUGUGUGAAUCUCGGGGGUAGGGUGGGAAGGCCUGGCUGUGCAGAAGUGGCCAGUGCCCUGCAGAACCUGAGGGAUGGCACGGAAGGGGCAGGGCUUGGAGAGCCAGAUCUGGAGGGAGGGGAACGAACUCCAGGGGACAGGCACAAGGCAGACGUGGUCUGGGCCAGCAGGGGGCGCUGCAGCAGCAGAAAUGGCCCCAUGGCCAGCAGGGAGCCUGCCGAGCCUGAGGUGAGUCAGAGGUUACUCAGGCUUCAUGACCCUGGAGCAGGGCAGAAAAAAGCCACCCACUCCACAGACCCGGCUACUGAGGCACAGCCCUAGCACAGGAGACCCACUGUGGGGUCAUGAACAGGCCUGAGUUCUCAAGAACAGACUGAGCUUGAAUCCUGGUUGCUCCUCUCUGUGUGACCUUGGGUGAGUGACGGUCAGCCCCGGCCAUAACACAGUACUGCAGACUUGGCAGCUCGCAACAGAAACUCAUUUCUCCCAGCGGUGGCGGCUGGGCAGCCUGGCGCGGGGCCAUUUCUGGAGCGGGCCCUCCUCCUGGCCUGCCCUGUACACUCACAUGGAGAGAGCGUUCCGGUCCCUCUUCCUCUUGUUAUAAGGCCGCGGUCCUGUGGGAUUAUGACCUCAUUUUACCUUCAUUACCUCCUAAAGACCGCGUCCCACAUAUAGUCACAUAGAGGGUUAGAGCUUCCAUAUAUGAAUGUGGGGGCAGCAGGGGCACAAUUCAGUCCGCAGCAGCAACUCCUUUCCUCCAAAGCUCCAGCUGCCACCUCUGUAGAGUGAAGAUCCUCAAGGCGCUUGCCCUGUGGGGUUGCGAGGCAUUAACGGGAUCGUGCAGGUGAGGCCCAGCCUCUGGCACGGUGUAAGCGUCCAUGAGAAACAGGCAAAGUCCUCCCCCAGGAGCAAAGCAGGGGUGCAGGCAUCUGGACCAGCUCGGGGAUGUCCACGUCUCCUGAGCCACACAGGGCAGGGUAGGGACCUGGCUUAUGGCAGAGCGGAGCCUUCGGAGCAGGAGGGGGCUCCAGAGCCAGGAAGGCAGGGAGAACACCAGGAAUGGGGCUGGCCCCUUGCCAGAUCCGCUCCAUUUGACCAGCGGACACUUAUCAAGCCCCUGCCUCGUGCCAGGCAAUGUCAGGCGCAGAGGUUUCAGGGGAGGAGGCAUGCUGGUCCUGCCCUCCAGACCCCGGCAGGGGGCACCUCCCGCUGGUGUGUCCUGGGAGCAUCUGUCCUGCAUUGAGACCGGCUGAGUAUCCCCUGGUGUCAAUGACUUCUCUUUCCCUGUCAUUCCCAGGAAAGCUCCUUUGCUUCAAACUAACCCCAUGAGGUUGGUAUUGGUGUCCAGCUACAGAAAAUGGAAGGCUCAGAGACGUUAAGUGACUUACCCAAGAUCACACAGUAGAAACCGAGUUUAUCUGAUUCCAGAGCCCAUGUUCUUUCCAGUGUACACACUGCCUAGAGCUGACUCACUAUUCCUUCUCUAUGAUGGGCCCAUCUAGGACCAGAAGGAGGCUUUGGAAGAACCUUCCACAGUGAGCACUUGGGGGUCCUGAUGCCCCCUGAGAAACCUCAUGUCCUGGGUUUCUGGCUCUGCUGCAGAUUGGAUGAUCUUGGGAAAGUCUCUUGUACCAAGCCUCAGUUUUCACCUCCCUCGGAUGGGGCUAGGAGUUCAUCACAAAGCACAGGAUAGAGCACACCCCCUUCCCCCUCACUCCUCACCUCUACUUGCUCCAUUCCAAAGACCCACCCUCAGGAUCAGCCCCCACCCAGGGGCAGGCAGCGGCUGUGCUGAAGGGUCCUCCACCUUCUCACGGGCAUGGUCCCAUGAAGAUUAAGGACACAGGCGCCCAGAGUGAGAUGCUCUCUUGAUGUGCUGGGCACCCCUGGAGGAUUCCUGAAGGCCCUCAGCAGACCAGCUCCAGCUGGGGAGAAACAGCAUCUGGGGGCACAAGAGACCCAGGACCAGGGGCUACCCUGGCCUGCUCUGGGCUCCUUCCUUGGUCUCUGGACCUUCGGGGCUCCCCUGGCCACAGGGGACAUUGCAGACUUGGCCUGGCUUGGAAAGGGCCCUCAGCCCUGGUACACCCAAAUAAUAAUUAAAUUCCCUGGUCAAGCCCAUUGGAUCAGAUGAACUCCCUUCAUGUGAAUAUGGACAUCAGCCAGCUGAAAUGCCACACCCACUGCCCACCUUUUCCCCAGCCCUUGCGCUGAAGAUCCUAUAGGGGAAAGCUACUACUUCCACUAAAAACGAUUCUGUGCUUUGGAAAAUACGUGCAAGAGUUGCAGGCAAAAGAACUGCCAAGACGCCCCACAGCCAAGCCUGAGGUAAGACUGUAAGUGCUUUGGAAAGAAUUUCUGGCAACCCAGGUACAACAUUUUUAACUGAGAUGUCCAGUGUUCCUCAGAGAAGGGCAGCAUUAGAAAAUUCAACAUCUGUCAGCCUCACAGGAUCUGGCAGUGGGAGAGCCUGCACCCUGGCCAUGGUGGCACACCUGGUUCUUGUCUGCAUCCAGAAGCAGUUUCGGUUUUAGUUGCAUAAAAUAGAGGUCUCUCUAUCUCUCUCCCCACUGACCCACUAUAAAAGUAAUGCUUGUUUAAAUAAACUUGGUAAAUAUGACAAUAAGGAAAAAACAUAGAAAAGUCCCCAGCUCUGUCUCACCCCAAGCGUCCUCGACAUUCGCUGACAUCCUUUUGUUCCUUUGCUUACCCCUGUGCUUUAGAUGGUGCUCUGUCGUCUCCUGCUCAGUACAUGUAAGAUUUCAUGAGCAUUUCCCUUUCAUUCUAAGUUCUUUCUCCUCCAAGAGGCUGAUCCCAUGGCUCACAAUCUGAAAAUUGUUUCCUGCUAUUCUGCACAAAGCUGUGAUGCAU